CAGUGCUGUUGUGUGUCCAGUACUGAGUGGAGUCCAGUGGGAGAACUACGGAGAUCAUCGUUAUUGAUGAUGAUGCAAUAAAACCUCCACAGAUCGGGGUAAUUCUAGACAGGACAGAUGAGAUUGAAUGGAAAAAGGUCAACAUGUGUUGGUUCAUAAGCAGCAUAGCAGCACAACGUGCCAGAACACUGACACCACACAGAUGAAGAGUGAAAAACAGAGACAGCUUCCCAGAGAAACGGAUUUCUUCAGAGACUCAUUAGGAAAGGAUGAGGCAUGACCC
ensembl:lncRNA